UGGGGAAUUUUGCGCAAUGGGCUAACGCCUGACGCAGCAACGCCGCGUGGAGGAUGAAGGUCUUUGGAUUGUAAACUCCUGUCAGCAGGGAAAAAGCGACUUAGGUUAAUACCCUAGGGAGUUGAUUGUACCUGCAGAGGAAGCCCCGGCUAACUCUGUGCAAGCAGCCGCGGUAAUACAGAGGGGGCAAGCGUUAUUCGGAAUUAUUGGGCGUAAAGGGCGCGUAGGCGGCUUUUCAAGUGACGGGUGAAAUCCCUCGGCUUAACCGAGGAACUGCCUGUCAGACUGGAAGGCUUGAGACCGGGAGAGGUGAGUGGAAUUCCCAGUGUAGCGGUGAAAUGCGUAGAUAUUGGGAAGAACACCAGUGGCGAAGGCGACUUACUGGACACAUAUUGACGCUGAGGUGCGAAAGCGUGGGGAGCAAA
rnacentral:rRNA from 1 species